UUCCCUGCCUUGUACACACCGCCCGUCGCUACUACCGAUUGAAUGGCUCAGUGAGACCUUCGGACUGGCCCAGAGAGGUGGGCAACUACCACUCAGGGCCGGAAAGUUGUUCAAACUUGGUCAUUUAGAGGAAGUAAAAGUCGUAACAAGGUCUCCGUUGGUGAACCAGCGGAGGGAUCAUUA
rnacentral:rRNA from 1 species